rnacentral:rRNA from 1 species
UACGGAGGGUGCAAACGUUUGCUCGGAAUCAUUGGGCGUAAGGCGCACGUAGGCGGCCUGUUAAGUCGGGUGUGAAAGCCCUGGGCUCAACCCAGGAAGUGCAUUCGAAACUGGCGAGCUUGAAUAUGGAAGAGGGUCGCGGAAUUCCCGGUGUAGAGGUGAAAUUCGUAGAUAUCGGGAGGAACACCAGUGGCGAAGGCGGCGACCUGGGCCAAUAUUGACGCUGAGACGCGAAAGCGUGGGGAGCAAACAGG